UUUUAUUAUCUUAAAAUUAGUCCCAACUAUAUGUACACAAUAAGCAACCAUAGCUGCAUGAAAAUCCAAUCCUCCGAGUAUCUCCUCCUCCUACGAGCAACCAUACUUGCCCAGUUCUCUUCUUUGAGUUUCUUCUUCUUCAACAGAUUGUAGAUCUGGAGGAUCCAUAACUCUUGUCCCUUCUUAACUUCCUUAAUUCGUCCUAGCCUUUUAAUAUCUCAUCCUUCCCUCCAUUCACAUCCAAACCGUGUUUGAAUCUCACAUAUGUUUUCAGAUCUAAACGUUGUAGUUAAUAUCUGUAUUCUCAUUAUCAUCUCCCUUCACCUUCACCAAUUCUGAACUUAUUUUUCUUUUCUCCACACCCCAAACGCAUCAACCCAUCUCCUCAUUUUCUCUACUCUUUUUCGCCACAUCAACCUGAAACAGUGCACCGUCGUAACCUCCUCUUCCUCUAAGCUUGCAGUGCCGCCACCACUACUAUUGUUUCCCAGAAACCGGUCACUCAUCGCACCUCUCACUCUCAAAAUCUCUGAAUCGACAUCAUCUUCUUCACUCACCUAAAAACCCCGAAAAACCGGAUCAUCGGGGUCUUCCUCCUCCAUCGAAUCCCUUCUGCCUCCUCCUCGAGGAGUUGUCACGGUUCUGCAUAGUGUGAGAUUGAGGGCUUGACAACAUGAGAAACCAAUGGGAGACGGUCUGAGGGUAAGAAGAUAGUGCAACUGCUAAAGGUUGCUUCUUCUCUUUGUUUUCUACGCUUUGAAAAGUGCAAAAGCUAUGGUAAGCAGCACCAAACAUGAUGCGGCAGCGGUGAGCCGUGAGCAGUGAAGUCACAACCCCUAUGCAUGUUAAUUUCUAAAGAGGAUUGAUUUUUUAACAGAUUAUUUAUGUUCUGCAAAUCAUUGUACCACUUUUGAAAUUAUAUAUUUAGAAUUUAAGUAAGCUAACUUAAUAGUGGCAAAAUUUUGGGUUAUGUUUUGCUCCCUGAAAGAAUUAAGAACCUUUUGUUUGUCAAUUUUUUAAAACGGUAGUGUAUCAAUUUCUUCCUUCGACAUUACCAACCAUGGCCUCGAUUAGAAUGAUAAAUUUCACACUCCUUUCUUUUGUGUUUUAUUUUAGUGAAAUUCUACUUCUUUCUCCUUCUGCUCCAUGGAAAAAGAGUGCUGUUGCACAUAACAUAUGCAGUUGUAGAUUAUUGUGGUUGCUUGCAGCUUAUAUACCUAUUAUGCUUGUGCUUCUCACAGGUAUCUAACCAAGCAGGAACUGUGGUUCUCACAGACCCUUGACCACUACUCUCCCUAUGUACUUGUCACUUCGAUUCCAUCUCUUCUCAAUCACCAUUCACAUUAAGUUAAUCAAUUCUCCGGGCUUGCAUCCCAAAUUUUGGUUCAUUACAAACCUCAAUUCUCCGGCACUUAAUUUCAGGAACUAAGCGUUUUUUCAAUUAACAAGAACUAGGUUAUAGUUAAGUUGCUUCAAUGUUUUAAUAUAUAUUGCAAUUUACUAAGUGCCUGCCUGGUUGGUUCAGUGUUUCAAUUUACAUUGCAAUUUGGUUCAAUGUUCUUAUGAAAUAGCACGUUAUGCAGCAAUUUGAGAAGGGAAGGUUUUGACCUUUUUUUUCUUUCAAUUAUGCGCUGCAGGAUCACUACAAAUUCCAGCAACGUUACUAUGAGUUCCUUGACUAUUUCCGGAUUCCUGAUGGACCCAUUUUUUUGGUAAUUUGUGGUGAAUCACAUACUAGUAGCUUUUGUUGGUUAAUGAGGUUCUGGCAAAGAAGUUUGGAGCAGCUGUGGUUUCUGUUAAGCAUCGCUAUUAUGUUUGAGUUCUCCAUUUAAAUCUCUGGCCACAAAAAAUCUAAGAUAUCUUUCAUCCAAGCAGGCACUCUUUGAUUUGGAUGUUUUUUGUCAUAAUUAUCA